rnacentral:rRNA from 1 species
CCUACGGGAGGCUGCAGUAAGGAAUAUUGGUCAAUGGACGCAAGUCUGAACCAGCCAUGCCGCGUGGAGGAUGAAGGUCCUCUGGAUUGUAAACUUCUUUUAUUUGGGAAGAAACUCCCGAUUUCCAUCGGGAUUGACGGUACCAGAUGAAUAAGCAACGGCUAACUCCGUGCCAGCAGCCGCGGUAAUACGGAGGGUGCAAGCGUUAUCCGGAUAAAGGGGGUUUAAAGGGGCAGUAGGUGCAGUGGUAAAAUCUCCGGGCUUAACCCUGAAACUGCCAUUGAUACUAUUUGUCUUGAAUACUCUGGAGGUGAGCGGAAUAUGUCAUGUAGCGGUGAAAUGCUUAGAUAUGACAUAGAACACCCAUUGCGAAGGCAGCUCACUACGGAAAUAUUGACGCUGAGGCACGAAAGCGUGGGGAUCAAACAGGAUUAGAUACCCCAGUAGUC